rnacentral:tRNA from 1 species
GUCUAGGGUAGCCUAGUGGACAUGGCACCUGCCCGGUAAGCAGAAGUUUGUGGGUUCGAUUCCCGCUCCUGGGCA